rnacentral:tRNA from 1 species
UCCUAGCUGGCCCAGUGGUUAAGUCUCACGCUUGCUGUGCAUUAGCGGGAGCCAAGGGGUUCGAUCCUCCCUGCUUGCAG